rnacentral:rRNA from 1 species
GACGUAGGGCGCGAGCGUUUCCGGAUUUAUUGGGCGUAAAGAGCUCGUAGGCGGCUUGUCGCGUCGACUGUGAAAACCCGCGGCUCAACCGUGUGGCGGGCAGUUGAUACGGGCAGGCUAGAGUUCGGUAGGGGAGACUGGAAUUCCUGGUGUAGCGGUGAAAUGCGCAGAUAUCAGGAGGAACACCGGUGGCGAAGGCGGGUCUCUGGGCCGAUACUGACGCUGAGGAGCGAAAGCGUGGGGAGCGAACAGG